rnacentral:rRNA from 1 species
CUUGCUUCUCUUGAGAGCGGCGGACGGGUGAGUAAUGCCUAGGAAUCUGCCUGGUAGUGGGGGAUAACGUUCGGAAACGGACGCUAAUACCGCAUACGUCCUACGGGAGAAAGCAGGGGACCUUCGGGCCUUGCGCUAUCAGAUGAGCCUAGGUCGGAUUAGCUAGUUGGUGGGGUAAUGGCUCACCAAGGCGACGAUCCGUAACUGGUCUGAGAGGAUGAUCAGUCACACUGGAACUGAGACACGGUCCAGACUCCUACGGGAGGCAGCAGUGGGGAAUAUUGGACAAUGGGCGAAAGCCUGAUCCAGCCAUGCCGCGUGUGUGAAGAAGGUCUUCGGAUUGUAAAGCACUUUAAGUUGGGAGGAAGGGUUGUAGAUUAAUACUCUGCAAUUUUGACGUUACCGACAGAAUAAGCACCGGCUAACUCUGUGCCAGCAGCCGCGGUAAUACAGAGGGUGCAAGCGUUAAUCGGAAUUACUGGGCGUAAAGCGCGCGUAGGUGGUUUGUUAAGUUGGAUGUGAAAUCCCCGGGCUCAACCUGGGAACUGCAUUCAAAACUGACUGACUAGAGUAUGGUAGAGGGUGGUGGAAUUUCCUGUGUAGCGGUGAAAUGCGUAGAUAUAGGAAGGAACACCAGUGGCGAAGCGACCACCUGGACUAAUA